rnacentral:tRNA from 1 species
GAGGGUGUAGCUCAGUGGUAGAGUACAGGCUUAGCAUGCACGAGGUCCUGGGUUCAAUCCCCAGUACCUCCA